UCGCUGUGCUGCUUCUGCAGGUCCUCACAGUCCCCGUGCAGCUUCCAGGCGUUCCCGAAGUCCUCCACGAGCGUCUCCACCAGGCCCGCGGGCGUGAGGAAGUCGUCACCCCUAUUGCCGUUGUAAUUCCCACACAGGCCGCAUGUCUUCCCGGCGUAGACAGGGGACAGCUGCGGGGAGAGGCGAACCACCUUGGAGCCCGUGGCCGCCAAAGCAGACACAGCUUCCAGUCUCUAAUGAGACGGUUAUAACCAAAAAGAGCUCUCCGAGUGAAAAAUAAAUACGAAUUUAAUAAACCGUAGGCAAGCCCGAGGCUGAAGAGGGAAGAAAAGCUAACUGUACUCUUGGGGCAGCUGCUGGUUUCUACUGCGAGGGUCCUGAUUCAGAGAUGCAGCCGUGACUGGGACCCCAGAGUCCUGCCUCCUGCUCUGCAUGCAGUUCACAUAGCUGAUGACCUCCCUGUGUUGAAACCAUCAUGCACUAGAAGUGUGCUCCUCUGGACAUCUCUGGGAGCCCCUUCCAGCAUCCAGCUAUGACUUCACAGGAUACAAGAUGAGCAAUCUAGUGGAAGGUUCUGGACCCAUAUAAAAUGUACCCAAGGAAAUUUCAUUAAAAGAAAGAAUAAAGAAAUUUAUUCUUACAAAU